AGCUCACUGGUCGAGUCGGCCUGCGCGGAAGAUGUAACGGGGCUAAGCGAUACACCGAAGCUGCGGCAAUGUCCUUAUGGAUAUUGGGUAGGGGAGCGUUGUGUAAGCUGUUGAAGGUGUGCUGAGAGGCAUGCUGGAGGUAUCACAAGUGCGAAUGCUGACAUGAGUAACGAUAAAGGGGGUGAAAAACCUCCUCGCCGGAAGACCAAGGGUUCCUGUCCAACGUUAAUCGGGGCAGGGUAAGUCGGCCCCUAAGGCGAGGCCGAAAGGCGUAGUCGAUGGGAAACGGGUUAAUAUUCCCGUACUGCUGCUUACUGCGAUGGGGGGACGGAGAAGGCUAGGUGGGCCUGGCGAUGGUAGUCCAGGUUCAAGUGCGUAGGCUGAUUUCUUAGGCAAAUCCGGGAAAUCAAGGCCGAGACACGAUGUCGAGCCACCAAGGUGGUGAAGUCAUUGAUGCCAUGCUUCCGGGAAAAGCCUCUAAGCUUCAGGUAAGUAGCAACCGUACUCCAAACCGACACAGGUGGUCGGGUAGAGAAUACCAAGGCGCUUGAGAGAACUCGGGUGAAGGAACUAGGCAAAAUGGUACCGUAACUUCGGGAGAAGGUACGCUGCCCGCGGUGAAGUCCCUUGCGGAUGGAGCUAUGGGCAGUCGCAGAUACCAGGUGGCUGCAACUGUUUAUUAAAAACACAGCACUGUGCAAAAUCGAAAGAUGACGUAUACGGUGUGACGCCUGCCCGGUGCCGGAAGGUUAAUUGAUGUGGUUAUCGCAAGAGAAGCCAUUGAUUGAAGCCCCGGUAAACGGCGGCCGUAACUAUAACGGUCCUAAGGUAGCGAAAUUCCUUGUCGGGUAAGUUCCGACCUGCACGAAUGGCGUAAUGAUGGCCACGCUGUCUCCACCCGAGACUCAGUGAAAUUGAAAUCGCAGUGAAGAUGCUGUGUACCCGCGGCUAGACGGAAAGACCCCGUGAACCUUUACUACAGCUUGGCACUGAACAUUGAGCCUACAUGUGUAGGAUAGGUGGGAGGCUUUGAAGCGGCGACGCCAGUUGCUGUGGAGCCAUCCUUGAAAUACCACCCUUGUAUGUUUGAUGUUCUAACUUAGCCCC
rnacentral:rRNA from 1 species